UACGGGGGGAGCAAGCGUUGUUCGGAUUUACUGGGCGUAAAGGGCGCGUAGGCGGCGUGACAAGUCACUUGUGAAAUCUCCGGGCUUAACCCGGAGCGGCCAAGUGAUACUGUCGUGCUAGAGUGCGGAAGGGGCUACUGGAAUUCUCGGUGUAGCGGUGAAAUGCGUAGAUAUCGAGAGGAACACCUGCGGCGAAGGCGGGUAGCUGGGCCGACACUGACGCUGAUGCGCGAAAGCGUGGGGAGCGAACAGG
rnacentral:rRNA from 1 species